rnacentral:lncRNA from 1 species
GAAGACGGUUUGAAUAGCUCUUGUUGAGGUGUGGUGUUACAUUAUAUUUCAAGCAAGUUUUUUUUUAGUAAUUGCUUUGUUUGUUAUGGCAAGAAUGAUUGGAAACAAUUAGAUGUGCGAGGGGUGAAUUCCUCUUUGAGCUCAAACAUCGAGGCAUAUUGAUAUUCUGACUUGUCUUUAAGAACUACUUUCAUUUCAAUUUAGGAAAAAAAGAAGUCCUUUGAACUUUUGUUCAUAAAAGUCAGAUAUGAAUUUAAAUUGUUUUGAAAUGAGAAAGGUGCCAUCUUAUUUGAUUAUUGUGCCAAUUUUUGGGCUUAUGCUCCUUGUUUCUAUCUUAAUCAUAUGAGAUUAUAUAAUCCUAUUGGUUUCUGUAGAGCUUUUGUUGUUGUGGUGUGUACAUUAUCUUUCUAGUUCUAUUAUUAAAUUUGUUGUUUGUUAUGUCAAGAAUGAUGAAAAACAAUUAGAUGUGCGAGUGGUGAAUUCCUCUGUGAGCUCUACCAUCGAGGCUUAUUGAUAUUCUGACUUGCCUUAAUGUAGUACUUUCCAUUUGUUGUUCUAAGACAAAUUUUCAGCUGUAGAAACUUGUGGUCUUAAUUAUGCAUUUGUGUGUUUGAAAAAUUUGUCACAGUUAAAAAUGUAAGGUGCCAUCUUUUUGUUCAAACAAAUAGAUGCUUUGAAUCUCCCUAAUUGAGAUGUGGUUUACAUUAUAUUUCUACAUUUAUUCAUAACAUUACUUUGCUAUGGCAAGAAUGAUGAUAAACUAUUAGAUGUGCGAGUGGUGUAUACCUCUAUGAGCUCAAUCAUCGAGGCUUAUUGAUAUUCUGACUUGCCUUAAUGUAGUACUUUCCAUUUGUUGUUCUAAGACAAAUUUUCAGCUGUAGAAACUUGUGGUCUUAAUUAUGCAUUUGUGUGUUUGAAAAAUUUGUCACAGUUAAAAAUGUAAGGUGCCAUCUUUUUGUUCAAACAAAUAGAUGCUUUGAAUCUCCCUAAUUGAGAUGUGGUUUACAUUAUAUUUCUACAUUUAUUCAUAACAUUACUUUGCUAUGGCAAGAAUGAUGAUAAACUAUUAGAUGUGCGAGUGGUGUAUACCUCUAUGAGCUCAAUCAUCGAGGCUUAUUGAUAUUCUGACUUGCCUUCUUAAAGUACUUAUCAUUUUAAUCAAUAGGAAUAUAUUGAACUUUUGAAAUUUGUGAUCUCCAAAUUUGCUUCAUUAUAGAAUUUGUAAAGAUUUGUCAAAUUGUUUAUGUUAGAUUGGUUUCUUAUUUAGCCCUUAUUUGAAGUUACAUAUCAGGAUAUAGUAUAUACUUUUUAUGGGGUCACAUCCCUUGUAGGUUCUACCUUUUUCUUAUGGAAUUACAGAACCAAAGUCACUUUAAGUGACUCUAGUUGAGGUGUCUAUAUUUACCCUUUGUUAUUGCAAGCAUGAUGAAAAACAAUUAGAUGUGCGAGGGGUGAAUUCCUCUAUGAGCUCAAUCAUCGAGGCUUAUUGAUAUUCUGACUUGCCUUUGUGAUUUACUCUUUUAUGUUUUUGAUUUACAUGGUAUAGAUUGAUCCCUUUAAUGUGUUUGAACCUAGCUAUGACUAUAAAAGCUUAUUAUUAGCCGUACUAACAGAAAUUUGAGAAUUUCAAUGUAAAUUAUUAUCAAAUAUAUAAUUUGGUUGUUCUUUUGACAUUUUUAGUUAUUUUAGGCAGAUAUAGGAAUGAUGAAUAUCUAUUGUGUGAAGGGAGAACUCCCUGUUGAAUCUUUACACUAACCGCUUAUUGAUAUUCUGACCUUUCACUUUUGACAUUGUCUAUUCAUAAUGUAUUUGUUUUCACUCUUUCUUUCUCCUUGGGGUAUUGUGUGUGUGUAGGUGAUGUACCAAUACACUUUGGUAAUUCAUUUUAUGGCAAGAAUGAUGAGUCUAUUAGAUGUGCCAGGGGUGUAUUCCCAAUGAGCUAAAACUUCUGAGGCUUAUUGAUAUUCUGACUUGCCAACUCAAUUCAAGAACCUUUGUUUCCACAUCAUCUUACUUCUUUGUUCCGUCACACAGCCGAUACAACAUGUUUAGUUUGUCUGAGCAACAAAUCAGUUUUUUGUGUCCAUUCAUCACACAAAGUUGAUUUCUUUUUUUCUUUUGUUCGGCUUUUUAUGUUUCAGAGUUUCAUUUCCAGCUUGUCAAUGGUAAGGAGGAGGAAAUUACUAUAUGCAAGAGUCAGCAAAUGACUCUAUGAGCUCCAAUAUUUAUGCUAAUGUAUUCUGACUUACCAAACUUGUUCCAAUUUUAUUUCCUUUCUUUUCUUUCAAUUUUUUCUGAUUUAUUUGCUUUCUUGAUCUCAAAUUGGAGAUGCUCAAUUCCUGUUACUUUGUUAACCAUGUUUUGUAGAUUUACUAAACUCAUUUAUUCAGUUUUGACCAUGUUUUGUAGUUUUUACCACUUUCCAGAAUUGCUGUUUGCCCAUCGUUCUUCUUCUACUGUUUCGUGAAACAUUUGGAGUACUCCACAGUUCAAGUCUUGGUCAGCUAAGCUAGUCGACAUGGCUAUCAAGUAUAGCUCGUAACACGACCUUGGUGACUCAAUGAUGUUAAGAGGUUUGACUGGUAGAAUGACAAGCAAAGCACUAUUUGUACUUACUUUUGUUGAAUACAAUUUAUCAAAAACAAAUUUGGUACAUUUGAGCUUGUUAUUGUCAUACAAUUUAUUUUCGUUUGAUCCACUUGAAUCUGUUAUAAGUUGU